GUGGCUCUCUAUCUUCUCUUCUGCCCUCCUUUUAAAUCUGGCCUACAGAUGCGGCAAAAGAUAAUCACAAACUCUUUUUUGCUCCAAAUUUUUGUCGAGAUUCCUCACAGAUUUUCAACGACAACAUGACGAAUCCGAAACUUGUGAAAAAGCUUGAACUGAGAUUGGCCUGGAGAAGCAAAUCAAGGCUCCACUGACUGGUCCUCUGACUCUGACAAGUGGUGAUG
rnacentral:lncRNA from 1 species